UCGGGUUUUACUAGUAUCUGCUGGAUGCAACUAGACUGCGCAAGACUCUUUCAAAGGUUCGUCUGCUCACAAAUUGUCGCGCAUGCGUAAAUGAAAAUGCCACGAGGAAUUAGUUUUAUAUUAUAACCCUCAACUUAUCCAUCUAUUGGUAUUCUUUAUGGUUUAACCAAUAAGUAUCAUCAAUCAAUCCUCCUGAAACGUGAAGAACACCUCUGGCUUUUAAGAACAAAGAUUAGAUGCCACUGUUAAACGCCAGCUGCCAGUUCCAAGCACAGAUUCAUUGGGCAAAGCAAUCGAAAGGGUCCAUCCUUCAAAUCGUCAUGGGACGCUUCCAUUUGCAGUACCUUUUCCGCUUACCAAAGAUGUCAGAACUGUUCUUCACUUUUAGAAGCCUACGUACUCUUUCCUACAGUCAUACUUUAUGGAAAUGGCAUAACACCUCGAAUGGCCUUCCACUUGUUUUUGGGCGACAUCGCAACGUUCCCAAAAGAAUUAAAUUAACAAUUGGGCGAAAGAGGGUAGAUUUACAAGGGAUAGCAACAACAACCCAACUAGCUGCACAUUAACAAUGUUUAAUUUGUUUGACGAAAAACAACUGCACCCAUUAUUUCCAACUAAUGUGCAUGUAUAUUUAAGGAAUAGUCUACAAGUCAUCACGUGAACUCCUCUUUAAAAUCGAGUUUGAGAGAUUUUCACGAGACGGCAAAAAUGAUCGAUUUUUCAUUUUCAAAAAUCUAUACUGAAUCCAAUAUUCAUAAUACUUCCCAUCUAAAUCUGGCCAAUUAUACAACUCCGUAUCCGUGUCCUGUCCUAUAAAGAGUGCGGAGAUCAUUUGCCUAAGCAACUUUUGUAAAUCAAAUCAUUCCCACUCCAUGGUCCCGGGUGGUUUCGCCGUCAGGUCAUUCAAAACCCUGGAAAUUCCUGGAACAGUUUAGACGGCUUCAACAUCUUGUCUACAACCCAACAAGCGGUAUUCAUGUUUA